AAGUAAGAAGCAAAUAAAUUGUAAUCAGUUUCGACCUGAUAGAAAGGUAUUUAAUAUACCCUUAUUUA
rnacentral:tRNA from 1 species